rnacentral:sRNA from 1 species
GAGACGACUAAAAAUGAGAUGUGUCG